UACGUAGGCAGCAAGCGUUGUUCGGAGUUACUGGGCGUAAAGAGUGCGUAGGUGGUGCCCUAAGUCUGUUGUGAAAUCUCCCGGCUUAACUGGGAGGGUGCGGUGGAAACUGGGGUGCUUGAGUGUGGGAGAGGUAAGCGGAAUUCCUGGUGUAGCGGUGAAAUGCGUAGAUAUCAGGAGGAACACCGAUGGCGAAGGCAGGUCUCUGGGCAUUAACUGACGCUGAGGAGCGAAAGCAUGGGGAGCGAACAGG
rnacentral:rRNA from 1 species